GAAUUCAGUUUCAACGAACAUCUCCUACCGGCAACAUCUAAAAAUAACUAAAAAAAAGUAUUUAUUCCAAAUUUUCGGUCAACAAUUUUAAACGUUUAUUUAGAAUUAAGUGAAAAGUGAAUAGUUCUCUAGUUUACACGCUUUGAUCUAAGCAUAAAGUGAAAAGAGUAAAGGCCGAUGCCAUGUAAAAGUGAAACAAAUCGGUCUCGUUUUUAUAGUCGUUUGGAAUCACAUUUAUUUCGAAGUUAACAUUGCUCAGGAUCGUUAUAUUGUUUUACACAAGACAGAGUUUACACGUGACACAAACAAGAGGAUUUUUUACUAGCCUGAUGACAUCCUUACACUUAAACAAAGUGGAGAAGAGGGAAGUACUACAAGAAUGGGAUACGCGGGACUACAUUUGGGAACGUCUUUGCCUCGGAUUGAAGUGAAUGAAUACACGAAUAAUUAUCCUUCCACACACCUACAAUAAUUGGGGAAGUGAUCACCAAGUUUUCUACAGAUUUGAUGGGAAUACUAAGACAUGAUGGGGAAGAAAACACAGUUCAAGAAACACUCGAUGCACUCGGGACUACAUUAGGGAACUGCUUUUCCACGGAUGGAUGCGAAUGUUAUACCUUUUAACACUGAAAUUCAAAAACACGGAACCUUGCAUGAGAUAUGGAUCUUGGAUUUCCACUUUGUCACAACUAAAUAUCAAUUAAUGAAAACAAGCACCAAGAAUACAUCUACUUAAAGAAAUAUAUAAUAUAUUACUCUUUUGUCCGCCGACUCUACAAAGAAUAUGGAAGAUGGGGAAUCAAGACACCGCUUUCAAGUCCUGGAACGUCCUGAUCUAAAAAUAGGAAACUAAUAAUACAACUACUGACCUGAUGACCAAACUUACAUUUAAACAAAGUGGAGAAGAGGGAAGUACUACAAGAAAAAGGGAUACGCGGGACUACAUUUGGAAACGUCUUUGCCUCGGAUUGAAGUGAAUGAAUACACGAAUAAUUAUCCUUCCACACACCUACAAUAAUUGGGGAAGUGAUCACCAAGGUUUCUACAGAUUUGAUGGGAAUACUAAGACAUGAUGGGGAAGAAAUCACAGUUCAAGAAACACUCUAUGCACUCGGGACUACAUUAGGGAACUGCUUUUUCACGGAUGGGUGCGAAUGUUAUACCUUUUUAAAACUGGUACAAGUUAUAAGAAAAUCACAGAAUUUUAGAUAUAUUAAUCAAGCUUUAUUUACUCGAAAAAGGAAUUUAAAAACACGAAACCUUCUUGCAUGAGAUAUGGAUCCUGGAUUACCACUUUGUCAUAACUAAAUAUCAAUUAAUGAAAACAAGCACGAAGAAUACAUCUACUUAAAGAAAUAUAUUAUAUUACUCUCUUUUGUCCGCUGACUCUACAAAGAAAGAAUACUGAACAUGGGGAAUCAAGACACCGCUUUUCAAGUUCAAACUUAUAAUACAACUUACUAAGACGAAUAUGGCGAAAGUUGGAGGGAAGGGAAUCAAGACACCGCUUUUCAACUCUUGGGACAUCCUCUUUUGAUAAAAGAAAACUGAUAAAACUAAGACAAAUAUGGCGAAUGUUUCAGGGGAGGAAAUCAAGACACUGCUUUUCAACUCAAAUGAAAACGAAUAUGUGGCAAAUUUUGAAGGGAAGGGAAUCAAGACGCCGCAACUCUUGGGGCAUCCUGCUCUAAUACAAAUAAACUGAUAAAUCUACUCAGGAAAUCAGGACUCUAAAAGACUGUCAUAUAUAAAGCUUUCAAAGAACACAAGGCCGAAGAAUUCACCCAUUUUGUGCAAUAUGAAGGAAUCUCUUCAGACACUACAAAGAAUCAAUUCAAAGACAAGGCAGUCUCUCUACUUUUUAAGAACAACCUCUAAUAAUAGGAUAUGAAACUACUAAAAAAUGG